CCUACGGGAGGCAGCAGUAAGGAAUAUUGGUCAAUGGACGAAAGUCUGAACCAGCCAUGCCGCGUGAAGGAUUAAGGCCCUCUGGGUUGUAAACUUCUUUUAUCUGGGACGAAAAAAGGGUAUUCUUACUCACUUGACGGUACCAGAGGAAUAAGCACCGGCUAACUCCGUGCCAGCAGCCGCGGUAAUACGGAGGGUGCAAGCGUUAUCCGGAUUUACUGGGUUUAAAGGGUGCGUAGGUGGGCUUGUAAGUCAGUGGUGAAAUCUCCGGGCUUAACCCGGAAACUGCCAUUGAUACUAUAGGUCUUGAAUUAUCUGGAGGUAAGCGGAAUAUGUCAUGUAGCGGUGAAAUGCUUAGAUAUGACAUAGAACACCAAUUGCGAAGGCAGCUUACUACGGAUAUAUUGACGACUGAGGCACGAAAGCGUGGGGAUCAAACAGGAUUAGAUACCCUGGUAGUCCACGCCCUAAACGAUGGAUACUCGACAUCAGCGAUACACUGUUGGUGUCUGAGNGAGANAUAUAUCCACCNGAGUAGANGCAGAUAGAAGUAAGUAAGUAGAGNGNGAGAGNGCGAGACGACGACGAGGAGAGG
rnacentral:rRNA from 1 species